GAUGAACGCUGGCGGCGUGCCUAAUACAUGCAAGUCGAGCGAACAGACAAGGAGCUUGCUCCUUUGACGUUAGCGGCGGACGGGUGAGUAACACGUGGGUAACCUACCUAUAAGACUGGGAUAACUUCGGGAAACCGGAGCUAAUACCGGAUAAUAUUUCGAACCGCAUGGUUCGAUAGUGAAAGAUGGUUUUGCUAUCACUUAUAGAUGGACCCGCGCCGUAUUAGCUAGUUGGUAAGGUAACGGCCUACCAAGGCGACGAUACGUAGCCGACCUGAGAGGGUGAUCGGCCACACUGGAACUGAGACACGGUCCAGACUCCUACGGGAGGCAGCAGUAGGGAAUCUUCCGCAAUGGGCGAAAGCCUGACGGAGCAACGCCGCGUGAGUGAUGAAGGUCUUCGGAUCGUAAAACUCUGUUAUUAGGGAAGAACAUACGUGUAAGUAACUAUGCACGUCUUGACGGUACCUAAUCGGAAAGCCACGGCUAACUACGUGCCAGCAGCCGCGGUAAUACGUAGGUGGCAAGCGUUAUCCGGAAUUAUUGGGCGUAAAGCGCGCGUAGGCGGUUUUUUAAGUCUGAUGUGAAAGCCCACGGCUCAACCGUGGAGGGUCAUUGGAAACUGGAAAACUUGAGUGCAGAAGAGGAAAGUGGAAUUCCAUGUGUAGCGGUGAAAUGCGCAGAGAUAUGGAGGAACACCAGUGGCGAAGGCGACUUUCUGGUCUGUAACUGACGCUGAUGUGCGAAAGCGUGGGGAUCAAACAGGAUUAGAUACCCUGGUAGUCCACGCCGUAAACGAUGAGUGCUAAGUGUUAGGGGGUUUCCGCCCCUUAGUGCUGCAGCUAACGCAUUAAGCACUCCGCCUGGGGAGUACGACCGCAAGGUUGAAACUCAAAGGAAUUGACGGGGACCCGCACAAGCGGUGGAGCAUGUGGUUUAAUUCGAAGCAACGCGAAGAACCUUACCAAAUCUUGACAUCCUUUGACAACUCUAGAGAUAGAGCUUUCCCCUUCGGGGGACAAAGUGACAGGUGGUGCAUGGUUGUCGUCAGCUCGUGUCGUGAGAUGUUGGGUUAAGUCCCGCAACGAGCGCAACCCUUAAGCUUAGUUGCCAUCAUUAAGUUGGGCACUCUAAGUUGACUGCCGGUGACAAACCGGAGGAAGGUGGGGAUGACGUCAAAUCAUCAUGCCCCUUAUGAUUUGGGCUACACACGUGCUACAAUGGACAAUACAAAGGGCAGCGAAACCGCGAGGUCAAGCAAAUCCCAUAAAGUUGUUCUCAGUUCGGAUUGUAGUCUGCAACUCGACUACAUGAAGCUGGAAUCGCUAGUAAUCGUAGAUCAGCAUGCUACGGUGAAUACGUUCCCGGGUCU
rnacentral:rRNA from 1 species